CGACCAGAUUGGACAGCCGCGGCUGAAUCCCGAAAGGGAUCAGGUGAGGAAAGUCCGGGCUCCACAGGGCAGGGAUAACGGGUAACGCCCGCCGAGGGUGACCUCAGGACAAGUGCAACAGAAAUAUACCGCCGCAAGGUAAGGAUGAAAAGGUGGGGUAAGAGCCCACCCGGCCCAUGGUAACAUGGGUUUUACGCUGUAAACUCUAUCCCGGAGCAACGCCGUGGAGAAGCAA
rnacentral:RNase_P_RNA from 1 species